rnacentral:rRNA from 1 species
AAGGGAGAAGUCGUAACAAGGUUUCCGUAGGUGAACCUGCGGAAGGAUCAUUGUCGAAACCUGCCCAGCAGAACGACCAGCGAACGUGUUUACACCAUUCAUUGGGAGGGGUGCUGGCUCGCCCAGUCCCUCCCUUAUGUCAGGGGGCAGUCCUCUAGGGAUUGGUGCCUGGCACAACAACGAACCCCGGCGUGUUAUGCGCCAAGGAACAUAAACGCGAUCUUGCCUGUGCUUUGCCCGGGUCUCCGGCGCAUGUACGUGGCACCCAAUCUAAGUCAUAGAAGGACUCUCGGCAACGGAUAUCUCGGCUCUCGCAUCGAUGAAGAACGUAGCGAAAUGCGAUACUUGGUGUGAAUUGCAGAAUCCCGUGAACCAUCGAGUUUUUGAACGCAAGUUGCGCCCGAAGCCUUUUGGCCAGGGCACGUCUGCCUGGGCGUCACGCAUGGCGUCUCCUCCACCCGACCAAGCUUGGGGAGGGAGAGGAAGAUGGCUUCCCAUGCCUCGCGGGGCAUGGAUGGCCUAAAUAAGGAGCCCUCGGUUACUAGAUGCCGCGGCGAUUGGUGGUACACAAGGCCUUUGCCUAUGAAGCAUCGCGUCGUGCUACGAGCAGCCUAUGUGGACUCGCAGGACCCUUACAAACCUUUGCGACCCCAGGUCAGGCGGGGGUUACCCCGCUGGAAAUUUUAA